UUUAGUUGAUACAGCCCUAAGUUCUACGUUCAACAGUAUCUCUCUGGUUUCUUUGUCUCUCUCAACGAGGAGAUACGCCUCACGCUGGAUCUCACCAGGCCGUGACUGGCGCUGUCAUCGAUCGGCGAUGGCCCACGCUGCUCCCAACAUCUUCUGCAUCCCCGCGUACUGACUUACCGGCGAGUGGACACUGCAAAUUGAUUCACAUAAAUGGCGCUAACAUUUCGCCUAAUAGCCAAUCGCACGUGGCUCUUCUUGUUUCAGCCAAAUCCCUUCCAACCCGUUUUUAUUUCCUAAUAUUUCCCAUAUUUCUUUCAUCCGCCGGUUUAGCUAUAUUCUGGUACUCCUAAACCCUAGCCUGACAACACGGCUUUGGAUUUUCUUUCAUGGCUAGUUAUUAGCUUCUCUUCUCCAAAGUGCUUUAUCUAUUCAAAGAACUUUAUGGAAUACCUCUUGAAGGAAGUCAGCAAUGUUCUUUCUAUCGGGACAUUUAAAUCCCAUGUACUCAAAAAACUCAAGUGGUGGAGCUAUCCAGACCAGUUGAUAUGUCAUCCAUGAAGAAACUUCUCGCAAGACUGAUUAGCAUUUCUCCUGCAAAAUUUCACAUAUUUCGCUUAAGCAAAAUGAGAACUUGGACGUAGUAAUUCCGUCAGCUCCUGUUCAUGCAUUGUGUGUUAGAAGCAGAUUUAAAGAACAAUCCCUGGUAAAUUACAUGACUAACAGUCUUCAAAGUUUCAAUGUAGAUGUUAGCCCAGCAAAUAAAAUCUUUACAAAUCUGGUUUGAGAUUAAAUUGAAUCGAGUAAAGAUUACAAAUUGUAGACAUUAGAUUAUUUUAAAGGUGUAAAUCAUAAUCGUUUUCUCUAUGUUUGUUUAUCGGACGUCUUACUGAUAUGAAAAAUGAAAGGAAGAAAAUUUUUUUGGGGGAGAUGAA